GGAUUGAAGGGUUGUCGAGCUAGUGUAAUUGUUUUGCCACACCAUCUCUGGUAAACUUGAUAAUGCUCAUCAUCAUCUUAGUGUUUCUACUCAUCAGGGAUUUUCGAGGAUGAGUCUCGAGAAUCGCAGCUGAGGUGGCACAACCCCAUAAUAAAGACAAAUAAGUUAGGACCUAGAUCCAAUAAAUGCUUAUUCAUGGGAUAUCCUAAAGAAAUAAAAGUAUAUUAUUUCUACCUUGCUGAAG
rnacentral:lncRNA from 1 species